rnacentral:rRNA from 1 species
GACGGAGGAUGCAAGUGUUAUCCGGAAUCACUGGGCGUAAAGCGUCUGUAGGUGGUUUAAUAAGUCAACUGUUAAAUCUUGAGGCUCAACCUCAAAAUCGCAGUCGAAACUAUUAGGCUAGAGUAUAGUAGGGGUAGAGGGAAUUUCCAGUGGAGCGGUGAAAUGCGUAGAGAUUGGAAAGAACACCGAUGGCGAAGGCACUUUACUGGGCUAUUACUAACACUCAGAGACGAAAGCUAGGGUAGCAAAUGGG